rnacentral:rRNA from 1 species
CCUACGGGAGGCAGCAGUUAAGAAUCUUCCGCAAUGGGCGAAAGCCUGANGUAGCGACGCCGCGUGAACGAAGAAGGCCGUGAGGUUGUAAAGUUCUUUUCGGGAGGGGGAACUACC